AUUGAACGCUGGCGGCAUGCUUUACACAUGCAAGUCGAACGGUAACAGGGAGCUUGCUCCGCUGACGAGUGGCGAACGGGUGAGUAAUGCGUCGGAACGUGCCGAGUAGUGGGGGAUAACGCAUCGAAAGGUGUGCUAAUACCGCAUACGAACUGAGGUUGAAAGUGGGGGACCUUCGGGCCUCACGCUAUUCGAGCGGCCGACGUCUGAUUAGCUAGUUGGUGCGGUAAAGGCUCACCAAGGCAACGAUGCGUAGCCGACCUGAGAGGGUUAUCGGCCACACUGGGACUGAGGCACCGCCCAGACUCCUACAGGAGGCAGCAGUAGGGAAUCUUCCGCAAUGGACGAAAGUCUGACGGAGCAACGCCGCGUGAGUGAUGAAGGCUUUCUGGUCGUAAAACUCUGUUGUUAGGGAAGAACAAGUGCUAGUUGAAUAAGCUGGCACCUUGACGGUACCUAACCAGAAAGCCACGGCUAACUACGUGCCAGCCGCCGCAGUAACAC
rnacentral:rRNA from 1 species